GGCAGACUGUUACACAGCCGUCCACUGCUGUGGGUUCUUCUGCCCUGUUCUAAGGAAAGUUCAACACUGCUUCAGUCAUUGGCCUAAGCAGCCUCCAGAAGAAUGAACUGAAACAUCAGAGCUGUCUGAAGCAUGAGCAGAAAGAACACCUAGGAAACAGGGCUUUAUCUGGCAGACAGAUACACUCUGUGUAUAUUUGCUUCUCCCUGAAGCCUAAAGAUGCUACAAGAAUUCAUCGCAGUAUGAGAGGCAGAACAAGGACACCGAGGCACUGCAAAAAGGCCCUGCAAAGAAUAGAUGGUUAAAAAAAAAAGCUUCCAGAUUAUCUUCUGUUUGACACAGACAAGACUGCUUUGGCAGCAUCUAAUGCUGUGUGACUGGGGAUAAAAAACACAGCAACUGUCAUGGCCACAAGAAGCAACUCAUCAGCUUUCUCAUAUUCAUGCCUGUUCCUUCAAUCAUUAUUCAGAUACCACAUUCAUACAGCUUAAUGGAAAUUCUGCUGAAGUAUAAACGGUUGGAUUGGCUGCUGCAAAAUCCUGAAAAAUUAGAGAAAACAGCCUGUGCAGGAAUGGUAGUGCACAAACAAUAUCAAUAACAUUUGCAAUGUCAGCUGAGCCAGAAAAGCUGGGAGCGAGAAAACAAUGGGGAAGACACCUGAUGAUCAUGCCAUUUACUUCCUCAGUGAACUCACUGCUGCAUGGGAUUUUUCUGAGCUGUCCUGCUGUGUUACCUGAUAAGAGAAGCCUUUCUGGACACAGUAUCCACUACCUCCACACUCAGGAUAGAAAAGAAACAGAUUCUUGAACUUGUCAGGAUUCGAAUAGCCAGCAAAAAUGUUUGCUGACCAUGGGAUUUUUUUCAUAGUUUACUAGUAUAUUAUUGAUGUGCCUUCUAUGGUAGAGUUUAUACAAAGCAGUACUGCAUUUCUGAAUUCCUUAGUGUAUACCAUAGUGGAGGAGUGACUACCAUUCAUGACCCACAAACCUUAUAUCAAAAACUUAAGUGUCUCAGAGUUGUGCCUCUCCAAGACCUAAGGGAAAGGCACAACUGGUAGUAGUUCACAAGUGGGUGAUGACAAUUGCUUCCCAAUCUCCUGACUCUCUGUUGCAGAAUAAGAACAGGCUGAACAUUCAUCUAGGAUCCAAUAAUGUCCACCUCAUCACAUCUUCACAUGGCUUGCUUCUUCCUGUAACUGAGAUGCAAAUUUGUUCCCAUGCUAAUACAGUCCCAGCCUCCUCCUCAGCUGUGAAUGACUUGCAAGCCAUAGGUUUUCCAGACUAACUUAGUGAGCGUGCAAAAAGACAGACAAAAUAACGUUCCUCUUUUAGGAGCUUCCCUACUAUACUUAGAAAAAAUAUUACCAAUAUUAAUACUACUACUGUUAACAAACAACUACCACAGGGGCCUAGGAUCUUACAGUAUUUGUAAACUGCCAGUAAGCUGACCUGCUGUGAGCCCUCUCCUCUCUGUGCUCUGGUGUGCUGGAUUACUGCAACCAACAAAGAGAAAACUGGUUUUCUGAAGCAUAUGUUGGAAGAAUCUACCCACAGCAGGUUUCUACCCUCCCUUUAUAAUCAAUGAAAGGCAAUACACACUUUUAGAAGAAAUUCAUAGUACUUAGACAUCUACUUUAGGCUUGGAUGAAUUGUACUCUAGAAGUGGUCAUUUCUAUCUGCUGACUAUUAAGGGAGUUUAGCAUGACCAGCUGAGAUGUUAGCAACUGUAUUUAAGGUGUCUGAAAUUAGGUGAGAUGAAUCCCUCUUAGGAAUCCAGCUUCUUGCCUGCAUUAUUUGUUCCUAAAUGUAUGGCUCAACAUUUGGCUGUAUUAAACACAUAGUGUUCAAAUGGGCCCAGCUCACAAAGUGGUAUGAAACUCAGGGGUGGUCUGAUUGAGCUGUCAUUACUGUUUAUUUAGUUUCACUAGUUUCUGAAUUACUAUAUGUAUUGGCUACAUAAAUCUGUGCAGAAUAGCACUGGAAACAACCUA